rnacentral:misc_RNA from 1 species
AAAAAUCUAAGAAGCAUAUUCUCGUUCAUUGUACGCAUGGGCAUAAUCGCACAGGUUAUAUGGUUGUCCAUUACAUAAUGCGCUCACUGCCAAUGUCUGUUACACAGGCAAUAAAAUUAUUUGCUGAUGCACGCCCUCCAGGAAUCUAUAAACCAGACUAUAUUAAGGCCUUGUAUGAAUUUUAUCAUGAAACAAAGCCAGACAUGGUUGUUUGCCCACCAACUCCAGAGUGGAAGAGAUCUUCUGAUCUAGAUCUUAAUGGUGAAGCAUUGCCAGAUGAUGAUGAUGAUGGAGGUUCUGCUGCUUCUUUGCAUGAAAAUCAUGAGACGGAUGCUAUAAUGACAAAUGAUGAUAUUCUUGGAGAUGAAAUACCUAUUGAUCAGCUGAAAGCUUUGCGACUAUUUUGCUACCAAACACUAAAUAUUCCUGUAAGAGGAAACCCACAAUUCCCAGGGUCACAUCCA